rnacentral:rRNA from 1 species
UACAGAGGUCUCAAGCGUUGUUCGGAUUCAUUGGGCGUAAAGGGUGCGUAGGCGGCGCGGUAAGUCGGGUGUGAAAUCUCGGAGCUUAACUCCGAAACUGCAUUCGAUACUGCCGUGCUUGAGGACUGGAGAGGAGACUGGAAUUUACGGUGUAGCGGUGAAAUGCGCAGAUAUCUGGAGGAAUACCGGUGGCGAAGGCGGCAUCCUGGACCGGCAUUGACGCUGAGUGAGCGAAAGCUAGGGGAGCAAACGGG